rnacentral:tRNA from 1 species
GGCAUGUUAGCUCAAUGGUAGAGCGUUGUGCUACGGACACAAGUAUGCAAGUUCAAAUCUUGUGCAUGUUU